GGGCUCUUGGCACAGGGGUAGCGCGCACGCUUCGCAUGUUCUGCUUGCGUGAGGUCGUGGGUUCAAUUCCCACAGUGUCCA
rfam:Hypsizygus marmoreus strain 51987-8 scaffold_10, whole genome shotgun sequence.